rnacentral:tmRNA from 1 species
GGGGGCGUAAAGGUUUCGACGGGGAAUACGAUCAUACGUAAGCGGGUUGAGAAUGGUGUCUGUCUCAUAAAAAUACACCGAUUAAAAUUAAACGCUAACAAUAACGAUUUAGCAGUAGCUGCCUAAGUGCGGCUCGUCCUCCCGAUGAAUACCGCGGCAUCGGCUUGGGCGUCAUUCAGCGGUGAACGCGAACUGAGAGUUAGUCUUUAUAACAGUCGCGGAUAAAAAGACCGCAUAGAUGCUGCUUUUGUCGGCUUUUUGGCAUCAUAUGCGUUAUUAAAAACCGUCUGCACCCGGAGAAAGCGUAUAGGAAUGUUUUUCGGACAGGGGUUCGACUCCCCUCGCCUCCACCA